GGGGAAUAUUGCACAAUGGGGGAAACCCUGAUGCAGCAACGCCGCGUGAGUGAUGAAGGUCUUCGGAUUGUAAAGCUCUGUCUUUUGGGACGAUAAUGACGGUACCAAAGGAGGAAGCCACGGCUAACUACGUGCCAGCAGCCGCGGUAAUACGUAGGUGGCAAGCGUUGUCCGGAUUUACUGGGCGUAAAGGGUGUGUAGGCGGAUGUUUAAGUGGGAUGUGAAAUACCCGGGCUUAACUUGGGUGCUGCAUUUCAAACUGGGUAUCUAGAGUGCAGGAGAGGAAAGCGGAAUUCCUAGUGUAGCGGUGAAAUGCGUAGAGAUUAGGAAGAACAUCAGUGGCGAAGGCGGCUUUCUGGACUGUAACUGACGCUGAGGCAUGAAAGCGUGGGGAGCAAAC
rnacentral:rRNA from 1 species